rnacentral:rRNA from 1 species
GUCUACAGCCAUACCACCAUGAACAUGCCCAAUCUUGUCUGAUAUCAGAAGCUAAGAAAUAGGAAGUUGCAGUAGACC